rnacentral:misc_RNA from 1 species
GAAAUGCGAUAAGUAAUGUGAAUUGCAGAAUUCAGUGAAUCAUCGAAUCUUUGAACGCACAUUGCGCCCGCCAGCACUCUGGCGGGCAUGCCUGUUCGAGCGUCAUUUCAACCCUCAGAACCCCUCGCGGGAUCUGGCGUUGGGGAUUGGCAUCCAGCCAGCCCCGAAAUCUAGUGGCGGUCCCUCCGCGACCUCCCCUGUGCAGUAGCGAUACCUCGCAGCGGGACAGCGGUCUGACCACGCCGUAAAACCCCCAACUUCUCAAGGUUGACCUCGAAUCAGGUAGGAAUACCCGCUGAACUUAAGC